GCUCAGUCCGUUCCGUGGGCCGGGGUAAUGCGGUGGGUGCAAGCGUUAUCUGGAUUUAUUGGGUUUAAAGGGUCCGUAGGCGGACUUAUAAGUCAGUGGUGAAAGCCUGUCGCUUAACGAUAGAACUGCCAUUGAUACUGUAAGUCUUGAGUAUAUUUGAGGUAGCUGGAAUAAGUAGUGUAGCGGUGAAAUGCAUAGAUAUUACUUAGAACACCAAUUGCGAAGGCAGGUUACCAAGAUAUAACUGACGCUGAGGGACGAAAGCGUGGGGAGCGAACAGGAUUAGAUACCCCUGUAGUC
rnacentral:rRNA from 1 species